rnacentral:rRNA from 1 species
AGCGAACGCUGGCGGCAGGCUUAACACAUGCAAGUCGAGCGCCCCGCAAGGGGAGCGGCAGACGGGAGAGUAACACGUGGGAACAUACCUUUUGGUUCGGAACAACUGAGGGACACUUCAGCUAAUACCGGAUAAGCCCUUACGGGGAAAGAUUUAUCGCCGAAAGAUUGGCCCGCGUCUGAUUAGCUAGUUGGUGAGGUAACGGCCCACCAAGGCGACGAUCAGUAGCUGGUCUGAGAGGAUGACCAGCCUCACUGGGACUGAGACACGGCCCGGACCCUUGGGGAGGGGGGCGGGGGGGAAUGUGGGACGAGGGGGGAGACCAGAAGCCAGCCGGGCCGGGGAGGUAGGGAGGGAGUUAGGAUUGAAAGGUUGUUUGGCAAGGGAAAAAAGUGACGGUACCGGAAAAGAAAGCCCCGGCUAACUACGUG